rnacentral:rRNA from 1 species
AGUGAACGCUGGCGGUAGGCCUAACACAUGCAAGUCGAACGGCGGCACAGUAAGAGCUUGCUCUUACGGGUGGCGAGUGGCGGACGGGUGAGGAAUACAUCGGAAUCUACUUUUUCGUGGGGGAUAACGUAGGGAAACUUACGCUAAUACCGCAUACGACCUACGGGUGAAAGCAGGGGAUCUUCGGACCUUGCGCGAUUGAAUGAGCCGAUGUCGGAUUAGCUAGUUGGCGGGGUAAAGGCCCACCAAGGCGACGAUCCGUAGCUGGUCUGAGAGGAUGAUCAGCCACACUGGAACUGAGACACGGUCCAGACUCCUACGGGAGGCAGCAGUGGCGAAUAUUGGACAAUGGGCGCAAGCCUGAUCCAGCCAUACCGCGUGGGUGAAGAAGGCCUUCGGGUUGUAAAGCCCUUUUGUUGGGAAAGAAAAGCAGCAGGUUAAUACCCCGCUGUUCUGACGGUACCCAAAGAAUAAGCACCGGCUAACUUCGU